UGCUGUGGUCGGCUGGGCGCCUGUGGGGGAGCCAUCCUGUAUCUCUGUGCAGGUAGGCUGGGCGUCGGCAUUGGAGCCUUCCUCUUUCUCUCGGCUGCCAGAGCCUUCAUGCAAUCCUCUUGUGAGAUGGCCAAGUUGACCAACUCAUUGUAUGUAUUCACCCUUCUCGGGUUCAAUCUCUCUCUGAGCUCCAGGCUCAAUCCUUUGCGGAACUUAUCUUGCUUCUUCUCAUCUGUGUCCGUAUG
rnacentral:lncRNA from 1 species